CGUCGGGUCGGCCGAGCUCUUGGUGGACGUCAGCCGGUCGCUGAACAGCACGCACCGGGCUCGCCCGAUCGUGUGGGCACCUGUCGGUUUUCACGUUCAGAAUUAUUAUCUGAAUUUUUGACGUUCAGAAUUUAGGUAGUUAGUUUUGUGACAACUGUUACCUGACAAGACCACGACGUCUUUCGUGUCGAGGCCGACAUCGGCAAACUUCUGUACGAUGGAGCUGAUCGGUUCGAACGGCGAGGGCAGGCCGUUGUCAGCUCCUGACUGAUUCGCCUUCAGACCGUCCCUUCUCCCCAGAA